GGGAUAUGAUGUUGUGUCAAUUAGAGAAGCCUUUGUGAUAUAAUUUGAAUGUAAAAAAGAUAGGGAAUUUUGCUUACUGAAGUGAUUUCUUGAGAGCAGGAAGAACAAGAUGAGGAAAAUUAUCAGUCAACCAAAGCUUAGAGGUGAUAAAGAGUUCAUCUCUAGAUCCUAUGAGACCAAUUUCAAGAGCUCGUGCUAUGGCUUCUCCCAGAGCUUCCUCAGAACCAUAGUAUGAUGCAGUAUCAAAGUGUCUGUAACCUAAUUUGAUAGCUUCUAAUACUGCACUUUUUGUGAUUUCACCACUGCUCUUGUUACUGUUAGCUGCAGUACCAAAUGCUAUCACUGGCAUUUUGCAUUGGUUGGAGGAGGAUUUGAGCACAACACUCGGGAUUUUGGUUCUAGUAGACAUGGUUUAUCAAUUAUCACACACACAACUCCUUACACAAUAUGCUUUAGUUGGAUAUAUGCUGUUGGAGAACAAGGGUAUUUUGCAUCUCUUUUAUAGAUAGAGGGGAAUUCUUCUAAAUCCAGCAUAUUAAUAUUUAUUUUCGGACCAAUAAUUCAGGAUUAAAAAUUAAUUAUUAGUUAUAUAAUCAUUUUUUUUAAUUUUAUUUAUUUAAAUAUGAUUUAAUAACUCAUAUUAAUUGUUCUCAAUUUUUAUAAUAAUAAUAUAUAUUAUAUAUAUUGAAGGACAAUUCUAUUGAAUUAAAAAAUGUAAAAAGUUAUAUAAAUUCUAUACAUCUUUAUUUAUUAUGGAAUCCUUUGUUACGUUGAAUAUGGACAUAUCAUUGAAACUCUCAAUGAAGCGCGUGGCUUGAGUCCCACCUUAUGAUUUGUUCAUACAUCUUAGAUAAGACAUUUAAUAUAGUUUAAAACAUUAUUGUUAUCAUUAUCAUCAAUAUAACCUUUCAUUAUGCGAAGGCGUUUGCAUGAUUGAACGAACAUUAUGUGAAAUUGAGUAUUGAUUAAUGAGUGUAAAAUGUGUGUAAUGAUGAUGUAAAGAUUUAUAUACAGUCAGUGUAUUCCAUUAUAAAAUAAAAUAUUAAAUACCCAUUUUAGUUUAUUAUGUUUUUCGAUUUUAUAAAUAUUAAAUACCCAUUUCAGUCAAGGUGUAUCAAGACUGUAAUAUUUCAGUCAAGGUGCAUGCACAAUAAAUUUGCCCUCUUUUUUCAUUGAAUUAUUACAUUACUAAUAAUAAAAUUGAGAAACUAUAUUUUCUAAUCAAUAAAAAGAGUUCUAUGUGUUUAUGGGGAUAUGAUGUUGUGUCAAUUAGAGAAGCCUUUGUGAUAUAAUUUGAAUGUAAAAAAGAUAGGGAAUUUUGCUUACUGAAGUGAUUUCUUGAGAGCAGGAAGAACAAGAUGAGGAAAAUUAUCAGUCAACCAAAGCUUAGAGGUGAUAAAGAGUUCAUCUCUAGAUCCUAUGAGACCAAUUUCAAGAGCUCGUGCUAUGGCUUCUCCCAGAGCUUCCUCAGAACCAUAGUAUGAUGCAGUAUCAAAGUGUCUGUAACCUAAUUUGAUAGCUUCUAAUACUGCA
rnacentral:lncRNA from 1 species